GCUGGCGUGGCUCAACGGUAGAGCAGCUGAUUUGUAAUCAGCAGGUUGGGGGUUCGAUUCCCUCCAUCAGCUCCA
rnacentral:tRNA from 1 species